UACAGAGGGUGCAAGCGUUGUUCGGAAUUACUGGGCGUAAAGCGUGCGUAGUCGGUAUGGAGAGUCGCGGGUGAAAUCCCAGGGCUUAACCCUGGAACUGCCUGCGAGACCUCAGUACUAGAGUGUGAGAGGGGAUAGUGGAAUACCCAGUGUAGCGGUGAAAUGCGUAGAGAUUGGGUGGAACACCGGUGGCGAAGGCGGCUAUCUGGCUCACAACUGACGAUCAGGCACGAAAGCGUGGGGAGCAAACAGG
rnacentral:rRNA from 1 species